CCCACUUAGAAUUUAGUUAGAAAUUGAAACCGGAGUAGAAGAGCAGCGAAAAUUCUGAAAUUAGGGCGGCAAAAAACGAAGCGGGAUUCCGAUUGAUUUUCACGUUGCUUGUUUCAUCGACGAAUCCGACAUUGAACGUGAUUGCUCCUCCAGUCCAUCUUCUCCAUCUCCGAAACCGAGUAUGGUAUGAAUUUUUGGUUGGAAUUUAGUUGUUUAAUUUGAGCUGAAACUUUAGUCACCAAUUAUAUGUAUAGAAUGUUAAGCAUUGCUGGGCAUGGAAAUUUCAGAAUUUUGGUUGGAAUUUUGUUGAAGGUUUAAGCUGAAAUUUUUAAUCACCGGUCACCAGUACCUAUAUCUUUCACGUCUCGGUCUCUCUUACAAAAUAUUCCAAAAUUUAUUUCCAGUAAUGCAUGAUUGUUCUCUAGCAUCACCCUUUUGUGCAUUACCAGGUGAGAAGGGUUCUAAAAGGUCGGGGAAAGUUUAUUUGUCUUACCUUAGCAAAUCACGUAGGAGUGGUGAUUUUCCAUAGUUUAUAUAUGAUGAAUAUUUUUAUAUUUUUCUGUUCCCUAAUGUAUUCAUAAUUAUAAUUAACAUCAUUUGCAUAACGGCUAAUGCAGAGAGUUAAGUUUUGUUUUCAUUAUAUGAAAUUCUUGCAGAACUACAAUUUUCGGCAAAUGCUCAGCUCCCGCAGUCUCUUUGUGCUUCCGGCGUCGUCACAUCUCUGGCAAUCGCUCAACUCCAGUACUAUUAGGGGCUAAAUAACGAAGAAGAGCUCUUGAUUUUUGUGAAUGUGAAUGUGAAUGUGGCAGUUAGCUAGGGAAAAUGGACGAACAUGGCAUGAUUAGUGGGUUAUGUCGAACUAGUUAUGUUAAGUUAAAUAGCUGCAAGGUCAAAAUCUUAAUUUGUUAUUUUAGUGUAGUGCAAUGAAUUGGUAGAUUUUGGUUGAAAUGGAUGACUUACUUCAGGUACCUUGUCUUACUAGCACAUUGAAUGUUUGGUUAAUUAUAAUAACAAGAGUUUGGAG
rnacentral:lncRNA from 1 species